rnacentral:lncRNA from 1 species
CUUCUGUACAAAAUUGGAGGAUUUCAAAGUGUUCCAGCAACAAAAUAUAAGAAAUUGCAAGAACACAUAAAUUUCAAGUGUUUUCUACCUACGUCAGCAACAUCUUAGCAAAAUACAGGCAGGAUAUCCAAGUGCCAAGAUGGAAAAUAAAAUGAAAAGUUGCAAGGAAAGCUGCCUGUGAGUCAGUCUACAACAGGUUAAUGUUCACCGCACAUGAACAGUUGAUCCAGCUUGAAAUAAGAAGAACUCAGUGAAAACUCCAGCUCAACCACUACAUGACAUUUGAUUUCGCAGAGUUUCCGUAAGUCCUUAGUGACUCAAUUUCUGUUCGUAUACAUUGCAACUACUUAUAAUUCUUGUCCCAUGGUUAUAUUAAGGUUAAGUGACAAUUUAAGUGAGAACAGUUAGCAAAACUCCCAAGACAUGAUAAGCAGUGGAUAAAUGUUUCAUGGUAGAUUCUCAUCUGAUUUGGCUAUCUAAUAACAGAAAGCCACCGCCUGCCUCAUGAAUAACAAAGCUAGUGAUGACUUGCAGUAUUGAUGAUAUUUUCAUUUUCUCCACAAUUUGGCAAUACCAUGUUGCAUCUGAGCUUUUACUCAUACAAACAAUUUUUCCUGUAAAAUUUCACUAACAACACUAAUUGAUGGGCUAUUAAUCAAUACGAGUUCAUAGGCAAAUAACAGGCUGUAGUAAUUUCACUUGAUUUUUUUAUGUGGGGACAAUUCUGGAAAUGCAUCAGUUUUUCUCAAUUGCUAUUUAUAAUAAUGUAAAUAAUCCCAUUUUUGAGUCAAUAAAUAACUAUGGCUAUGUGGUUGGAAGAUUAAGUUAUUAAUAUAUAUUAUCUAAUUUAAUCCCAACUUCACUUUUAUGAUGUUAGCACUGACAGUACUUUACAGAAUUUGGAAUCUGAUGCUCAGAGAAAUUAUAUAGCUUGCCUAAGCUUUUGCAGCCAAAAGCUAGAAGGGCUCUGCUUGAAACCAGUUCUGAUGCCAAUAGUUGAGCACUCAAGUACAGUCUGCAUAUCUGAUGCUACCUUGAUCAUUUCCUCUGACAAUGUUAUCUUCAUAUCACAAGUGAUUCUGUAUUGCUCUCCUCAUCCCACAGGUGGUUCCUUGAUCAACCAUCACCAUGCAUCCCCAGAAGGUAAUCAACUUCCCUUCUCUGUCUUCCUGAGGAAGGAUCCAUUGGCUGCAGACUCCAACUCUUGCUUCACAGGUCUCUGUCAUAUUUUUUCCUCUCUAACUCUGGCUCCUGUGGCAACCUUUGACUUUGAUGACCUUGAAGCUGGAACUGGGGAUGAGUGCACAUGUCAGCUCAGUAAUCGCUGUUGA